GCCGGGUGUGGUGGUGCACACCUGGAAUCCCAGCAGCCCUGGAGGCUGAGGUAGGAGGAUCAUGAGUUCAAAGCCAGCCUCAGCAACUAGUGAGGCCCUAAGCAAUUCAGUGAGAAUCUGUCUCUG
rnacentral:sRNA from 1 species